UACAGGGGGGGCAAGCGUUGUUCGGAAUUACUGGGCGUAAAGGGCGCGUAGGCGGCCGUCUAAGUCGAACGUGAAAUCCCCGGGCUCAACCCGGGAACUGCGUCCGAGACUGGAAGGCUCGAAUCCGGGAGAGGGAUGUGGAAUUCCAGGUGUAGCGGUGAAAUGCGUAGAUAUCUGGAGGAACAUCGGUGGCGAAGGCGGCAUCCUGGACCGGUAUUGACGCUGAGGCGCGAAAGCCAGGGGAGCAAACGGG
rnacentral:rRNA from 1 species